AACGAACGCUGGCGGCAGGCCUAACACAUGCAAGUCGAGCGCGCCCUUCGGGGUGAGCGGCGGACGGGUGAGUAACGCGUGGGAACGUGCCCUUCUCUGCGGAAUAGCCUCGGGAAACUGAGAGUAAUACCGCAUACGCCCUUUGGGGGAAAGAUUUAUCGGGGAAGGAUCGGCCCGCGUUGGAUUAGGUAGUUGGUGGGGUAAUGGCCCACCAAGCCGACGAUCCAUAGCUGGUUUGAGAGGAUGAUCAGCCACACUGGGACUGAGACACGGCCCAGACUCCUACGGGAGGCAGCAGUGGGGAAUCUUAGACAAUGGGGGAAACCCUGAUCUAGCCAUGCCGCGUGAGUGAUGAAGGCCUUAGGGUUGUAAAGCUCUUUCAGCUGGGAAGAUAAUGACGGUACCAGCAGAAGAAGCCCCGGCUAACUCCGUGCCAGCAGCCGCCGUAA
rnacentral:rRNA from 1 species